GGUAUAGCUCAUUGGUAGAGUGCAUGCCUAGCAUGCACAAGGUCCUGGGUUCAACUCCUAGUACC
rnacentral:tRNA from 1 species